AGCAUACUUGUAUUCCUAUUAACUCCAUUUUCACGGUUUCACUUGAGAACUUUUUCCCAAAUCCGAAUAGCCAAAUUUUGCACCAUUUCAGAACCCUAAUAUUUAACGUCUAUGAUUACUGUGUAUUCAAUCCAUUCCAAAGAGGUUUUUGGUGACGUGCGAGCUGCAAUGGCGCAUAUUGCACCACAAGAAGUGGAGUGCAUGCGUUGUUCGUUUUGACAAGAGAAGCCAUGGUUUGUGUAUCGUGAGAGGCUGGCAAAUUGCAAUCAUAACCUAUAAGUUGCUUUAGGUUCAGGACCUAGUAAUGUUGUCAUGUAAUCUUGAACACGAGCUGACUGGAUGAGAUUAACUGGUAAGUUAGUAGGUUUUUAUGGCCUGGGUCUCUUAUAUUUUUACUCCUAAAAAGCAGGUGCUGUAAAAGCUUUUGCUCAAUCAUAUGUACACCUUGAUUGUAUCUAAGUGCAUUAUUUUACAUCUCAUUUUUCUUCUUCCAGUUAUUUUUGGGUUCUUUGUGGAAAGACGAGGGGGCAAAAGGUUUUCUAAGGGGUCUUUUAGGAUGAAGAUAUAUUCUAAGAGGCAACUUUGUUAAAAAUUAAAAUAAGGUUUCGGGUGUUAGAAGCUGGAAGUUCGUCGGAAAUGCAUAGCUGAGAUUCCAG